rnacentral:rRNA from 1 species
UACGUAGGGUGCGAGCGUUAAUCGGAAUUACUGGGCGUAAAGCGUGCGCAGGCGGUGCACCAAGCUCGAUGUGAAAGCCCCGGGCUUAACCUGGGAAUUGCAUUGAGGACUGGUGUGCUCGAGUGCGGCAGAGGGGGGUGGAAUUCCACGUGUAGCAGUGAAAUGCGUAGAGAUGUGGAGGAACACCGAUGGCGAAGGCAGCCCCCUGGGCCGACACUGGCGCUCAUGCACGAAAGCGUGGGGAGCAAACAGG